GACGAACGCUGGCGGCGUGCUUAACACAUGCAAGUCGAACGGAAAGGCCCUGCUUUUGUGGGGUGCUCGAGUGGCGAACGGGUGAGUAACACGUGAGUAACCUGCCCUUGACUUUGGGAUAACUUCAGGAAACUGGGGCUAAUAUCGGAUAGGAGCUCCUGCUGCAUGGUGGGGGUUGGAAAGUUUCGGCGGUUGGGGCUGGACUCGCGGCUUAUCAGCUUGUUGGUGGGGUAGUGGCUUACCAAGGCUUUGACGGGUAGCCGGCCUGGGAGGGUGACCGGCCACAUUGGGACUGAGAUACGGCCCAGACUCCUACGGGAGGCAGCAGUGGGGAAUAUUGCACAAUGGGCGGAAGCCUGAUGCAGCAACGCCGCGUGCGGGAUGACGGCCUUCGGGUUGUAAACCGCUUUCGCCUGUGACGAAGCGUGAGUGACGGUAAUGGGUAAAGAAGCACCGGCUAACUACGUG
rnacentral:rRNA from 1 species